rnacentral:rRNA from 1 species
UACGUAGGGUGCAAGCGUUGUCCGGAAUUACUGGGCGUAAAGGGCGCGCAGGCGGCUUACCAAGUCAGAUGUGAAAUAACCGGGCUUAACCUGGAAGGGUCAUUUGAAACUGGUAGGCUAGAGUACAGCAGAGGUUAGCGGAAUUCCCGGUGUAGUGGUGAAAUGCGUAGAUAUCGGGAGGAACACCAGAGGCGAAGGCGGCUAACUGGGCUUGUACUGACGCUGAGGCGCGAAGGCUAGGGGAGCAAACAGG